rnacentral:lncRNA from 1 species
AUAACAGCCGUACAAAGGAACCCUCCUGCAAAUCAUAUAAAGGUAAUGGGCAGGGAUGUUAAACACGGUUUGUACUAAAAAUAAUGAUCGUCAUUCCUUUACAACAGCCAUUAUAUAAUGGCAUAAAGCCCAUCUCAAUGGGUUUUUAAUAGUAAUGAGACAUGAAAGCAACAGCCCUAAGAGAAAAAUAACAGCCUUCAUAAAGCAAAAAACCCUUUUUGUACAUAAAAUGAAAAAGAGAUGUUUUUUAGAACAGAUAUUUCAUGCAUUUUUUUAAGACAUUGAACAACCCAGCUUUCAAAUUUUGACGUGCAGCAUCCCCACCCCAAUGUGACUGUUUUAGAGGGGCAACAGAUCAAAUUGUCCUCUCUAGUAGGUCCAAUUUCUUCUAUUCCUGUUUCCCUGUAGCAUUUGGUGAUCUUGACCCCUAACAUAUGCGUUGUAAAGAGGGCAUUCCCACUAGAGGGAUUCUCGAGCCUUUCAUGAUCCCAACCAUUAUGGUCUCUCUCUCUCUCUCCCUUAGUGUACUGAGACUCAGAUUCAGAUUCGGCUGAGUCUAGAGCGAGUUCGAGGACCUCCGAGCAACCUGUACACCCAUGGCGAGUGCUCCAUGUACUCGCCCGAGAUUCAACAACUCGGCCAAGUAUUAUUGAACUAGGUACAAGGCUGAGGCAAGUUGCACCUCAUCGCUCUCUCUCUCUCUCCUCUUUUCUCUCUCUAAAAUGAGGCCAAACCCCCCUUUCAUCUCGCCAGAAGCCAGGUACUUCUUCUUUUUCGUUGUUCAGAGCUGAACUUGAGGAAUGAGAAGACUCAUUGAUGUGAUCAUUGGAAACCCAGCUGACACUUUAGAAGGAGACCCCUGUUAUCAACUUCGCACAAAAUCCUUUAACGAAUCAAUUGCCCAGGGAGUUCAUCAUGCUUAGGUAGAGGGAAAGAGUUAGUGCCCAGGAUUCUCUUUCAUGCUUGGAUAGAGGUAGACACUAGGGAGAAGAGAGGGGAUAAAAGGGGCAUAUUUGAGGUUUUAUAUCUCUCCAUUCUAGAGAGAGAAAAUGCCGAGGAGAUUACCACUCUCCACUCCACAGAGAGUAAACGUGAAGCCCUAAUUUCACAUAAUUUUGCACUUAAUCCUCC